CAGGAAAGCACAUCAUCUCAAUUAAGCCUGUUGAUAUCGAAUUCAAUUAUCUUAUCCUGCUGUUUCAAUAUACUGAUUUGCAAUAUACACUAGCAUGCUUGAAUGGAAUGACAAUCAUGAAGCAGAAUGUGGCAGACAUGCAGUGGCAAGGAGUGCCCCCAUUACAUGCACAGCGCAGGCAUUUGAUGCAUUCUCGUGAACGCAUGUCUGCAUAUAUAAUCUCAUGUACACCAAGACUUGCAUGCGCAAUUGUUAUUGAAAUAUCAAAACUUGAAGAAAGAAAAUCUUCUGAACCUGAGAGGACUUAAAUAGAAGUUGCUUACCUUGUGAGGGAUCAUAAAAUCUUGUAAGUAAGGAGAUUAAAGUACUCUUUCCACAGCCACUAUGACCCACUAAACCAAGCAUUUUUCCUGCUGGAAUUGACAGUGAAAAUCCUUGAAGGACUAAUUUAUCUUCUCGGGAUGGGUAAGCAAAGCAUACAUCAUGAAAACAAAUGUUUCCAUUAAUUUUCUCAAGUGUUUUUGCUGUUGGAUCAUAACUUAUAGCUGGCUUUCUGUGUAUAACUUUAAAGAUCUCAUUUCCUGCAGCCUUUGCCUGAUUGAAGAUUUGCAUAUCUGGUGCAGCAUGUGUAAGUGAUCUGCAGUUUGGAAAACGAUCAGUUUUGAUGUACUAAGUAAACAAUAUCAUUUUGUCUUGCUUCAGGAAAUAAAAUUUCUUACAUAGCCCCAAAGAGAAUGCACAUCACUGCAGAUAUGACAUCUCCUCCAGUUGACCUCUUGUCAGUGACUACAAUAGCACCAACCCAUAUGAUCAGAGCCCAAGAACAGAAGGUCACGGUUUGCAACAUCCCUGUUCCCACGCCUUUUAUCAGUGCCUCU
rnacentral:lncRNA from 1 species